rnacentral:lncRNA from 1 species
UUACGGUUAAAGAAAAGAGACCAGGAAAGUUUUGUGGCACUUGUAACUGUAAUUUAAUGUUUAGUGGAAUAAGAGGUGAAAUAAGUUCAGACUUUUUAUACAUUUCGAUAGCAUUUUAAAGAUUUAUUUUUAAUUUAACGGAAGUCUACUGCAAGGAAUGCAUAUAAACGACCUCAAUAAUUAUCCAGGAAGAUCUCGCACUCAGUCAGCUCUAUGCUUUCACUUAGUUCAUGAUAAUAGAUCAUAAUAAAAGAAUUGAGAAGCCCGUGGUGUACUAGCAGGGGCGGAUCCAGCCAUUAAAAAAAGGGGGGACCAACCCAGGACAAAGGGGGGUUCUAACUUUAUGUCCCCAUUCAAAUGCAUUGAUCGGCCCAAAAAGGGGGGUCCAACUCCCGUAAGGAUCUGCCAAUUACUUGUCCAAUAAUGUAAGAAUUUGGAGUUUCAUAUCAUUUAUAUUCAACAUUUUUUUAUAGGAUAUUACUUUUC